rnacentral:rRNA from 1 species
UACGUAGGGUGCAAGCGUUGUCCGGAAUUAUUGGGCGUAAAGAGCUCGUAGGCGGUCAGUCGCGUCUGCUGUGAAAACUCGGGGCUUAACUCCGGGCCUGCAGUGGGUACGGGCUGACUAGAGUGCGGUAGGGGAGACUGGAAUUCCUGGUGUAGCGGUGGAAUGCGCAGAUAUCAGGAGGAACACCGGUGGCGAAGGCGGUUCUCUGGGCAUUACCUGACGCUGAGGAGCGAAAGUGUGGGGAGCGAACAGG